AGUGAACGCUGGCGGUAGGCCUAACACAUGCAAGUCGAACGGCAGCACAGUAAGAGCUUGCUCUUACGGGUGGCGAGUGGCGGACGGGUGAGGAAUACAUCGGAAUCUACUUUUUCGUGGGGGAUAACGUAGGGAAACUUACGCUAAUACCGCAUACGACCUACGGGUGAAAGCAGGGGAUCUUCGGACCUUGCGCGAUUGAAUGAGCCGAUGUCGGAUUAGCUAGUUGGCGGGGUAAAGGCCCACCAAGGCGACGAUCCGUAGCUGGUCUGAGAGGAUGAUCAGCCACACUGGAACUGAGACACGGUCCAGACUCCUACGGGAGGCAGCAGUGGGGAAUAUUAGACAAUGGGCGCAAGCCUGAUCCAGCCAUACCGCGUGGGUGAAGAAGGCCUUCGGGUUGUAAAGACCUUUUGUUGGGAAAGAAAAGCAGCAGGUUAAUACCCCGCUGUUCUGACGGUACCCAAAGAAUAAGCACCGGCUAACUUCGUG
rnacentral:rRNA from 1 species